AUACGAAGGUCCCAAGCGUUAUUCGGAAUCACUGGGCGUAAAGAGUACGUAGGCGGUUUGGUAAGUCAGGUGUGAAAUCCCGAAGCUCAACUUCGGAACUGCAUCCGAUACUGCCAGACUAGAGUAAUGGAGAGGCAGGUGGAAUUCUCGGUGUAGCAGUGAAAUGCGUGGAUAUCGAGAGGAAGACCAAUGGCGAAGGCAGCCUGCUGGACAUUUACUGACGCUGAGGUACGAAGGCUAGGGGAGCGAAAGGGAUUAGAAACCCGGGUAGUCC
rnacentral:rRNA from 1 species